GUGCCAGCAGCCGCGGUAAGACGUAGGGUGCAAGCGUUGUCCGGAUUUACUGGGCGUAAAGAGCGCGUAGGCGGCUCGUUAAGUGAGAAGUUAAAGCUGUGGGCUCAACCCACAAACCGCUUUUCAUACUGGCGAGCUGGAGUGAUGCAGAGGUGGAUAGAAUUCCCGGUGUAGCGGUGAAAUGCGUUGAUAUCGGGAGGAAUACCCGUGGCGAAGGCGGUCCACUGGGCAUCAACUGACGCUGAGGCGCGAAAGCGUGGGUAGCAAACAGGAUUAGAUACCCCGGUAGUCC
rnacentral:rRNA from 1 species